rnacentral:rRNA from 2 species
GAACGCUGGCGGCGUGCCUAAUACAUGCAAGUCGAACGAAACUCUGGUAAUGAUUGGUGCUUGCAUCAUGAAUUACAUUUGAGUGAGUGGCGAACUGGUGAGUAACACGUGGGAAACCUGCCCAGAAGCGGGGGAUAACACCUGGAAACAGAUGCUAAUACCGCAUAACAACUUGGACCGCAUGGUCCGAGUUUGAAAGAUGGCUUCGGCUAUCACUUUUGGAUGGUCCCGCGGCGUAUUAGCUAGAUGGUGAGGUAACGGCUCACCAUGGCAAUGAUACGUAGCCGACCUGAGAGGGUAAUCGGCCACAUUGGGACUGAGACA